UUUUUGCGUUAGGGAUAAAAGUGGAAAUCCUUUUUUAUUGUGGAGCGCGAGCGGAAUAAUAAAAAAGAUUGAAACGGAUAGCCCGAUUCGCC
rnacentral:sRNA from 1 species